rnacentral:sRNA from 12 species
UAGAGUUGGCAAUAAUACCUUUUGAGCUGCCUUGGUGUUCCCCCCGCGGAUGCGAGGGUCUAAGCUAAGGAUUACCAUCUCAAGAGACGCCGCUCUA